CAUUUUGGGGGCUUUCUGGGCCAUUUUGAGGCUCUUUGGGGGCAUUUUGGUGCCCUCCAAAUGUAUUUCGGGGCUUUCUGAGUCCAUUGUGGGGCAUUUGGGGGCACUCUAGGUGCAUUUUGGGGCUCUUCAGGUGCAUUUUGGGGCUUUCUGGGGCCAUUUUGGGGCCCUCUAGUUGCAUUUUGGGGAUUUCUGGGCAAUUUUGGGGCUCUUUAGGUGCAUCUCAAGGCCCUCCAGGUGCAUUAUGGGGCUUUCUGGGGCCAGUUUGGGGUUCUUUGGGGGCCUUUUUGGGGCUCUCUGGGGUCAUUUUGGUGCCCUCCAGGUGCAUUUUGGGGUUUUCUGGGGCCAGUUUGGGGUUCUUUGGGUGCAUUUUGGGGCUUUCUGGGGCCAUUUGGAGGCUUUUUGGGGCUCUUGGGGGGCAUUUCAGGGCCCUCCAGGUGCAUUUUGGGGCUUUCUGGGGCCAUUUUGGGGCCAUUUUGGUGCCCUCUAGAUGCAUUUUGGGGCUUUCUGAGGCCAUUUUGGGGCUCUUUGGGGGCAUUUCAAGGCCCUCCAGGUGCAUUUUAGGGCUUUCUGAGGCCAUUUUGAGUCUCUUUGGGCUCAUUUCCGUGCUUUCUGGGGCCAUUUUGAUGCUUUCUGGGUGCAUUCCGGGGCACCCUUGUCCUCUAGAAUCCCUUUAGCAGCAGCCACUCUCGCACCUCGGCGUCCACGUGGCCCUUGAUGCGCAGCGUCCCCGUCACCUCGUUCACCUGCGUCUGCGGCUCCUUCCCCACGCGCUGCCCCAAGAACG
rnacentral:lncRNA from 1 species